GUGACCGGAAGUGCCCUGCACAGGGAGUCUGGCAUGCAGAGGCCAUGGAAGAAAUGCUGAGAAGGGUCACAAGGAGGGGGUGGCACCAGCAUUACGGAGGCGUUGCCAGCAGAUAAGAGGGAAGGAGACACAGCAAAGAAAAAUAUUUCUACGUCUAAAAUUGGAACUUGAGAGCAUAUACUGAACUUGGCCGAACACACUGAACCAAAUGAGAUCCAGUCCAUCAGCCUGAGCUUUAACUGACCAGGAUCAUUUAAUUUGGACAUCCAUAUACCUGCUCAAUUGGACACACGAGGAUGAUCCGCAUGCACAACUAGUGACCAGAUUGCCC